ACUUACUGAAUAUUUCAAAACGUGGUUGAUGAAUAACGCACAAGACAGUCAAUUUUCCUUCUUCGGCUACAGCUCUCAACGACUUCAACACAGAUAAACUGGACGUACUAUCCAGUCCACUGAAACAGGAAAACAUUUCAGUACUGAAUACAUUAUACAGGGUGUAUCAAAAUAAACGCAAUUCAUCUUUUGUGCUUAAUAACUUUCGAAAUAC